GCUGAUGGGCAGCACCGCCCCUGGCAGCGACACGGCGGCCGAGCCUCCUCAGGGUCUGCUGACGGUCCCCCGGGAGGAGAACUUGAGAUGCUCUUACCGCGAACUCUCCUCUCUGCCAGCAUCACAGCUACCUGGAGGAAGGCAACCUCGUGCUCUAUAGGGGCUCUCCGAGGAGCACCUGUAAAACUCCAAAUAAACCCCCGGUGCUGGGCAUCCCGAUCACCACACCCCAAACGCUGAGCGCUUCCCACCUCGUUAGUGCCAACUCCCACAACAUUCACAGACACAUCACCUACAUAACGAUGGGCAAAGUGGUGCGGGAGAGAGGCCUGACCUGGAGCUUAGGGGAUGACAAGGUGACAAUGAACAGGUGAACUCCCAAUUCAUUUAAAUGAGUGCUCUGGCCUUAAAGGACAAGAGACUUCCCCAGCCAGCCCUGAAAAUAGCUGUGAAGCACCAACCUUCCAGAUGUGGUGUGACAUCCUUCCCUGGCGAGCAGUCCUUGCCACGCUAGCCCGAGCCCAUCGGACACACCACUAGCUAUAGAAAUAACAGGACGGAGCAAAGGUAUUGGCCACUUUGCAUCCUGCCUUACGCUUGAGCAUUUUGCCUUGCUCAACUCCUCACAAAAUAACAGGAUACACCCCCAGUAACAACACGUCCCUAAUAUUAUACAUCACUUAAAUAUUCGUGGUUGGUUGUAGGACUGGGCAACUUCUGCAAGCAGCAUUCUUGACCCGAAAUAGUGUUCAGCUGAUGUGGGGUGAAAAAGGAAUUACUGUUUGCCUAUAAAGUAUUUAGCCCCAAGAUAAAUCCUUGGCUACAGCUACAAUUGGACAUCACAUGCUUCUCCACCUCUUGCCAAAAAUAACAAAGAAUUUCUUUAUUUACUUGCACAACUACACGUACUCUGCUAUUUUUUCUCACUACUUGUUCCAGUAUUUUCAACACGUGUCUGCUUGAUUUUAACCUUUAUUUAGAACUGAUCCUUGUAAUAAAGAUUGUUAGGAAGUGAAGUCAGAAUUUGAAUUAAUUAAUUGGAGAAGCCAGACUUCUUGUACAGAAGUGCUAAAACCAAACAUUGGAUUUACUACCACAACGCCACCAAUUCUCAGUCUUGUACCUUUGUGCUGGUAGGCAACAGAGGGGUUAAGGUGGAAACUCCUGUUACACCUGUUCCUGUGUAUCUCCCAAGGGAUGCACGAGGAGCCAUCCACUGUGGCUAACUUCCAAAGAAGAAAAUCAGAUUAAAGCAUUCUUCUUCAAUUCAUUCUUCUUGCAAGAAACCUCCUGCACCAUCCUGACAUUGCUGCUUCAAAUUCUGCCAGGUGACUAAUGACUUCUCUCUGAGCACAACAAAUGUUCCAGCUGACCUCACUUCUCAAAAUGCAUCAUUCCUUCAAAUAAACGUCAUUAAACACAAGCAGGCAGUGGAAUUACAGAAUUAAAACAUAAUCCUGCAUCACUCGAGUGACUCGGUGCUUAUUAGGAGGGAAACUAUUGCCAUCCAUAAAAGGUUUCUGGGGCUGUGCUUUUGCACCAUAUUCCAAAAUGAAUAAUUUGAUUAAUUGCCUGCUGCUCAUCAUCAUUUUCCCAUCAGCAAAGAGAAGUUUUAUUGCAAGCAGGGUGUCUCAGGCUCCCCCACAAGCCGCAGCACACAGGAGAGGAGCCUGCUCCAGCUCUGGCAGGCACUGAAUCACAUCCAAGCCUAUUUUAGAAUUAAAUGGAAGAUGACCUCGUUACCUGGGUCUCUCCAACCUCACUGUGAAAGCACUUGAGGACUGAGCCAGGGUUUUGCUAUCAGCAGCUAAAACAAAAGACAAACUGCACAAAAAGGCCUUUUUGUUGCUCUGGUGUGAGGCCCUGUCACUAAUCUGUCUGCGGCACAAAUCCCUCCUGAGAAGCAGUUUCACCCAAGUCCACAUCCACGUGGCUUGAAAAUGUCCACAUACACCCUCCCUGAACAGUUUCAUACACCAGCAACUCAUCCAUGUGUUUUCCUACCUUCUAAAUGAAGAUUUCCUUAUUUCUCCCCUCCCUGUGUGACAUCCUUAAUGAAAAAUUAAAAAUAUAUUUUGAACGUUUAAAUUACCAGAUUCGAUCUCCUCCUGGAAUGAACAGAAAAGGCACAUUAAUUACAUGAGUUAUGAAAACAGAUCAAACCAUUUUAAAGAAAAAAACCCUUUAUUUAGUAAGUAUUUUCAUAUAAAUACAUUUAUUCAGAGGUGCAAACAUUUAACACAAUUUUUACAAAGGUUACAAAACUUGUACUUUUUUUAUUUUAUUUUUCUGUUCCAAAACAGCAACGACCCAAGUUGGGUUCCAAAGGAAAAGGUGAUGUUGGGCAGUAGUUUUGGAUUGUUUUGACCCAGUGAAAUCCUGCUAGCAAGGAGACACUUGGCUGAAAGUAUCACAUGGCAGGAACAAAAAAAACCCUCUGAGCAAUCUCUCCCCAGAUAAUGCAGAACAAGAUCAGGUAACAUAUCUACUGAGCUAACUGCAGGUGCACUUGGUGCUGCUGCUGGUGCUUUGAUCUGUAGCAUUUUCACUUUAUGAGCAUUUUGAUGAUAGUAAAAGCUUUAUAAAUAUUUUUUUUUACUUUUUUUUUUUUUUUUAAACACCUCUUAGUUAGAUGUAAAGCUCAUGUUGUUUUCUGACUUGGACACUUUUGAUUAAAAACAUUCAAUUUUGAAAUGUUUUGGUGUGAAAUACACAAAAAUAUCAUGUCUACCCAUGUGACAUUUUAAUUAGAUUUUGUGUGAAGGUAGGAAAUCAGUUGGGUUUUAUGGCUUUCUCAUAUUUUGAUAAAAUUGCCACUCUCUGCUACAAAAACAGGGAGCACAGCCUGACAUGUUUAUGAUCUGAUGUUGAAAAGAACAUGAGACAGAAGUGGAAAGCAAAAUGGCAAACAGGUAUCUAUAAAUAAAACCAUGGUCAUAAACAUCAUGUCAUGCUCAACAGCAGUGAGAUACAGCAGGUGAGAAAAUGAAAAGACAGAAACUGCAGAGCACAAAACACAACCAGUACCCCAAAAAGACUCAGCCUGGUGAGAUUUAGCUCAAAGUACACGUGCAAAAAUUCUCAUGGCAUCCUCAGAGUUUGGCAGCAGCACUGCAAUGAUUUUCUGGAUUUUCUUUUGCUGGGGAUCACAAGAAUGGAUGAAUUGCCAUCAGGACAAGGCAGGAGAAAAGGCCCACGGCUCCAGUCUCAGAUGCUACUUCAACUGAAGUCUCAGGAAAACCAGAAAUACUUCUAUAAAUAAGUUGUUUUUGUCAAUUCUAUAUUUGUGAUUUAAAAACCACAGUUUCCACAGUUCUAAUAUAUGCACUGGACCUCCAGAUCAUUUUCAGAUUUAUUUUUUCUUUUUUCUAUGCAAACUGCAUAGCUCAGAGAAAGAUAAUGAACUGCUGCAUGUUACAUAAAUAGUACAUUUGUCAGGGAUUGAAGUACUUCCAUUCUUGUGCCACAUCUUACAAAGGAAAUUAUGAACAGCUAUCCUGACAAAAACAAUUUAAUAUGUGCAAAUUAGUUUAUCCUGUUUCUAUCUCAGUGACAAAAAGCACCUGU